rnacentral:rRNA from 1 species
UUAGCUAGUUGGUGAGGUAACGGCUCACCAAGGCGACGAUGCGUAGCCGACCUGAGAGGGUGAUCGGCCACAUUGGGACUGAGACACGGCCCAGACUCCUACGGGAGGCAGCAGUGGGGAAUAUUGCACAAUGGGGGAAACCCUGAUGCAGCAACGCCGCGUGAGUGAUGAAGGCCUUCGGGUUGUAAAGCUCUGUCUUUGGGGACGAUAAUGACGGUACCCAAGGAGGAAGCCACGGCUAACUACGUGCCGCGGUAAUACGUA